CCGUUUCAAUCUGCUGGGGACAGAUGAAGUGGAUGUGGGUGUCGAUUGAGCCGGCGGUGAGGAUGUGGCCCUCGCCGGCGAUCGCUUCGGUGCCCGGGCCCACCACGAUCGUCACGCCCGCUUGGGUGUCGGGGUUGCCCGCUUUGCCGAUGGCGCAGAUGCGGCCGUCGCGCAGGCCGAUGUCGGCCUUGACGAUCCCCCACCAAUCCAGGAUCAGGGCGUUGGUGAUCACGGUGUCCACGGCGCCCUGGCUGCGGGGCGUCUGGCCCUGGCCCAUGCCGUCACGA
rnacentral:sRNA from 1 species